rnacentral:rRNA from 1 species
GACGAACGCUGGCGGCGUGCCUAAUACAUGCAAGUAGAACGCUGAAGGAGGAGCUUGCUCUUCUGGAUGAGUUGCGAACGGGUGAGUAACGCGUAGGUAACCUGCCUGGUAGCGGGGGAUAACUAUUGGAAACGAUAGCUAAUACCGCAUAAGAGUAGAUGUUGCAUGACAUUUACUUAAAAGGUGCAAUUGCAUCACUACCAGAUGGACCUGCGUUGUAUUAGCUAGUUGGUGGGGUAACGGCUUACUAAGGCGACGAUACAUAGCCGACCUGAGAGGGUGAUCGGCCACACUGGGACUGAGACACGGCCCAGACUCCUACGGGAGGCAGCAGUAGGGAAUCUUCGGCAAUGGACGGAAGUCUGACCGAGCAACGCCGCGUGAGUGAAGAAGGUUUUCGGAUCGUAAAGCUCUGUUGUAAGAGAAGAACGAGUGUGAGAGUGGAAAGUUCACACUGUGACGGUAUCUUACCAGAAAGGGACGGCUAACUACGUG